rnacentral:tRNA from 1 species
UGCCGGGGUAGCCUAGCCCGGAAAGGCGCCAGACUUGAGAUCUGGUGCUCGUUUGAGCUCAGGGGUUCAAAUCCCUUCCCCGGCGU